AAGCCAUGAUAGGGGCACUUACUCAAAAAUCAAUUUGAAGUGCUCCCGCGCUUCAUAUAGCAUUCUCCCUCAAGUGGUUGAAAGUUAGUGAUAUCCAUUUGGAGCUU
rfam:Gossypium raimondii Chr03_contig_693, whole genome shotgun sequence.